rnacentral:rRNA from 1 species
CGGAUGACUUGUGGCUGGGGGUGAAAGGCCAAUCAAACCGGGAGAUAGCUGGUUCUCCCCGAAAGCUAUUUAGGUAGCGCCUCGUGAAUUCAUCUCCGGGGGUAGAGCACUGUUUCGGCAAGGGGGUCAUCCCGACUUACCAACCCGAUGCAAACUGCGAAUACCGGAGAAUGUUAUCACGGGAGACACACGGCGGGUGCUAACGUCCGUCGUGAAGAGGGAAACAACCCAGACCGCCAGCUAAGGUCCCAAAGUCAUGGUUAAGUGGGAAACGAUGUGGGAAGGCCCAGACAGCCAGGAUGUUGGCUUAGAAGCAGCCAUCAUUUAAAGAAAGCGUAAUAGCUCACUGGUCGAGUCGGCCUGCGCGGAAGAUGUAACGGGGCUAAACCAUG